UACAGAGGGGGCUAGCGUUGUUCGGAAUUACUGGGCGUAAAGGGCGCGUAGGUGGCCUGUUAAGUCGAACGUGAAAUCCCCGGGCUCAACCCGGGAACUGCGUCCGAGACUGGCAGGCUCGAAUCCGGGAGAGGGAUGUGGAAUUCCAGGUGUAGCGGUGAAAUGCGUAGAUAUCUGGAGGAACACCGGUGGCGAAGGCGGCAUCCUGGACCGGUAUUGACGCUGAGGCGCGAAAGCUAGGGGAGCAAACGGG
rnacentral:rRNA from 1 species